AGGACGAACGCUGGCGGCGUGCUUAACACAUGCAAGUCGAGCGGUAAGGCCUUUCGGGGUACACGAGCGGCGAACGGGUGAGUAACACGUGGGCGACCUGCCCUCAGCUCUGGGAUAAGCCUGGGAAACUGGGUCUAAUACCGGAUAUGACCACAUGUCGCAUGGUGUGUGGUGGAAAGUUUUUCGGCUGGGGAUGGGCCCGCGGCCUAUCAGCUUGUUGGUGGGGUGAUGGCCUACCAAGGCGACGACGGGUA
rnacentral:rRNA from 1 species